GUUCCUCAUGGCCUUCCUUGAAAGGCCACAAAGCAGGAUGGGGGCCGAUGACCCUUUGUAAAUGGCCCUAGAUGUGAUCAGCUAUUUUAAACCGAGCCCUCUUCAGUUUAAAAUAGUUGCACACACACACACACACUGAUGGGGAUUCAGGAUGAGCUGCAUGGGCAUGGAGGUGUGUACACAUACAUACGCACACUGAUGGGGAUUCAGGAUGGGCUGUAUGUGUGUGGAGGUGUGUACACACACACACACAGAUGGGGAUUCAGGACGGGCUGUAUGGGCGUGGAGGUGUGUACACACACACACACACACACACACACACACACUGAUGGGGAUUCAGGAUGGGCUGUAUGGGCAUGGAGAUGUGUACACAGACACACACACACACACUGAUGGGGAUUCAGGAUGGGCUGUAUGGGCGUGGAGGUUGUGUACACACACACACACUGAUGGGGAUUCAGGAUGGGCUGUAUGGGCGUGGAGGUGUGUACACACACACACACACACACAGAUGGGGAUUCAGGGCAGGCUCUAUGGGCGUGGAGACAUGCACACUCACAUGCACUAGCAGACAUGCACCUCACCCCUUCACACUCCAUCCUGUACAUUCCCCAGUGCAGUUCCUCAGCUCCCCACCUCCCCACCUCAGGCCUGGCUCACUGCAGGAGUGUUUCCCUGAGCCCAGCAAGUGGGCGGCAGACAUGGAGUUACCCUAGGCCUUCCUGCCUGUCCCACCCACCCUGUCCUGGGCCUGGGGAGCCCAGUGUUACUCCACGUCUGCUGCCCACUUACUGGACACACCAUCUCCCUUCUCUGAGCUUCAGUCUCCCAGCUGCUAGGUGGGCUUGGGGUCGCUCCUGCAGAGCUGUGCAAAUCGGAGGAGCACAGUGGCAUGCGGUAGGUUCUUAAAUGGUAGUGAGGUGGUUGCUUAUUCAGUGUGUGUUUAUUAAGUGCUGUGGGCAGGCCGCCUGGGAAGGGGAGUGAGGAGUAAGAUGCGUACUUGGAACCAGAAAGGAGCCGUGCCUAGGGGUGUUGUUUUCUGAGGUUUGAAUUGGCCCAGCUCUGUGCAGCCCUGCUCCCUGAGAUGUCUGCUCUGACUCCCCAGGCCUCCAGCUGGCUCUGGGACUGAUCAGGGAGGGGAGGGCAGGGGUCCUGGGCAUGGUGUUCACUGGUGUCCACGGUGCCUCCAGGCAGCCUGGGGGCGAGGGAGACUCAGCAGUGGGUGUGGGUAGGAGCUGUGCUGAAGGCAUCCAGGGAGACCUGGAGAGAAUGCUGCCUUGCUGUGCCGUCUUGGGCAUGUGGCUUACCCUCUCUGAGCCCCCACUUCCCUGUAGAGUGACUGAUAGUCUGUUCCACACUCUGAAUCCCCAGGGUGUUGUGGGGUAGGAAGAUUGUAAAUCUGGAAAGAGGCCGUGCGAUUGUUUGCUGCGCUCCAGGCAGCCCUAGUCAGGAGCCGGGAUCCCACCAAGUUUGAUGGGAAAGGGAAGGCUGAGGGGUUGGGGCAGGUGUGGGGGGCUCUGCAGCCAUUUGCCUCCCACCUGCCUCUGGCCUCCCUGUGCGGACUCCCUGGGCCUCACAGGUUCUCAGAGGCUCAGCUGCAGGGUGAGAGAGUCAGGUCCUACAGGCCAGUUCAUGAGAAGUGCAUGGCAGCACCAUCCCCUCCUGGGGGAUGACAGAUCAGGAGUCUCCAGGCGGAAGUGAAGAUGGGGCUCCUGGGAGCUGCUGCUCGCAGGGUCUCAGUCCUUCUCUUGGGCCAGCUUUGUUCUGCAUAUCGGAGCAGGAAGAGGUACCUUAAGCCAUGUGGCCUGGGGACCCGUGGGACCACCUUUGCAAUGACCCUGGGUUUUAGAUGGGGUCAGAGGGUGGGCUUCAGGAGGCCUAUGUGUAUAGCAGCCAUGCUCUGAGUUCAACUUAAGGGCUCCUAAAAUCCUCACCCAGUGCCACAGUUCAACCUGUGGUGUGUUUAUGCCUUGGACGCACCCCUGGCCCUCUUUGUGGGAUUGUGGCUACUCUGGGGAUGGAGGGAGAUGCAGUCAUUAGUGUGAGCCACCCCCAUUAGAGAGGCACAGACCGGUGAGAUUUGGAGGAGUGGGGUGGUCAUAGCAGUGGGUUUUCCCUGGGUUUUCUGUUGUAGCUCAAGUUCUGGAAGGGAGUGGAGGGGUGUCGUCUCUGCCCACAUGUGUGAUUUGGCGUGGUAGGUGAUUUGGAGUCCUGAUGUCCACCCUUGCCCCUGGUAGGCCACUGUGAAACACAGGUGGUCUGUGGGGGUCAGUCUGUGUAGCAUUGUUCCAGCUUCCAGCCUGUGUGUCCCUGGGUGGGCCCCUUGCUCUGGAAGCCAGCUCCCCAUUUGUCUUGUUUUACCUCUGACAGCUGGUGAUGGCCCUGGUGGCUCAAGGCAGGCUGGUAGAAGCCUGGAGAGGGGUGACCUCAUGGCCUGCUCAUCCCUGGUGGCCUGCAAGCCCGGCACACGCAGGCCUGCUGUGCACAGAGCAUGAUUCAUACAGGGCCCCCAGCAGAUGGGACACAUGGGGCUGCCGCCCUGUUGUCCGUUUAAGGGGAAGAAAGUUAGUGGGCGCAGAUGUUUGUGGGUGAUUCCCUCUGGUGUUGGCAGCUUGCAUUUUUGUAGUGCUUUCAGCUCUUGAGAAAGUUGUCUUCCUUUCUCAGUGGGUCCUCCUGGCAACCCUUUGAGGUGCAUUACCAGCAGAAGGGGUAAGGCUCGCUAAGUGAUUGCUGGGCGCUGGUGCCAGCUGAGCUCUGGAUGUCAGACAGAAGCAGCUGGGGCCCUGGUGGCAGAGGGGACCCAGGAGCCACACUCAUGAGUCGUGGGGCCUCUCCCAGGCCCCAGAGGGCCUUGCCACUCCCCUGGUACCAAUGGCUAAUGCGUACUAAGCAUCCUAAUCCCCUGCUCUGGCUGAGGGUCAGGACGUGGCCUCACCCACGGAAGCCUCCUGUGUACGGGAACUCAGGUGGAACAGGGCCGGAUCCUGGGGCCAGUGCCAGUUAUCAGGAAGGAAGGGUUCCCCGACUAUCCCCAUGGAGGCUGGGACCAAGCCCCCUUCCAGAAGGCCACCCUCUGGCUGUAGUUUUGACUCUCCAGGAAGCCUUUCUGUCCCCCCUUAAAGGCAUUUGCCUUGUGACCUUGACCACUCACUGGCUUCUCAGAGUCUGCGGGUACAACCCUGGGAAUGACCCAUGGGGUGGCCAGUGUCCCACUCAGCAGCUUCCACCGCCAGUCUCUGGGUGGGGACCUGGUCCCCGGCCUCCUAGAAUCCCCUGCAGGCCCUCCACCAGUCCCUUUUGCAGAUGUGGAAGCAGGUUCAGAAAUGUGCCCGGGUCAUAGCUGUGAGGGGUCAGGCCACCUGGCCCGGCUGGUGCCCCUCGGGCAGAUGCAAGGACCAAGCAAAUCAGAUGGUGCUGACGAAGCCCCUGCCCAGCAGGCUGAUGCCAUCAGCACCACUGCCUCUCCUCCCUGCUGGCCUCUUAUCUCCCUGCAUUCCCUAAAUUCCGAGCGGGCCACCCCGCCCCCCUGCUCACAGGCCGGGAGCUCCCCACCUCCCUCCCUCAGCUUUACGGCCUCCCUGCCCAGGGUCUGGAUUGAACUUGGCAGGGUUCCCUGUGCCUCAGCCUGGCAGGAUCGAGUGGGGAUGGGGUGAAGGGAACACGUGGGAGGGUGAGCGGAGCGUAUGGGGGGCGUUGGGGCCUGGUUGGGGGAGAGUGAAUCGCCACAGAGAGCAGCCCAGUGUCCUCCAAUCCAGGAAGGAUUCCAGCAGGGAUCAGAUCUAAUUGUUUCUGCCAGACAAAAAACUCCCCAGAGCAGUGUUUGCUUCUUUGCUGCUUCCCUGGGGGGAGGCUGAGGUCUUGCUGGUGUUGCUGGUGCCGAGGGCAGGUGGCAGGUCAGAGAGCACAGCUGGGUGGCCGCUUCCAGCACACGGGCUUGUUCCGGAGGCUGGGCGGGCAUGGCAGAAGCAAGAGAGCAGCUCUCCUGUCCCAGAGUUUAACUCCUGCGCGUCCCUAGCAUGCAUGCCAAGCCCUCCUGUCAAUCAGGAUGUUCCAUCAAGAUCCAAAUGCCAGUGCAAAUGGCAACUCAUGAACGGGGCAGUCCCUGACCACCCUUUGCAUCCCAGGAUGAGAUGAGUUGAUGAGACAAGGAGAAUUCCACCAAGGGAGGCUGUGGGAGGCCCUGGUGGAUGCCCCUCACUUGCAUGGCAGCCCUGGAGUGCUUGGGGGCCGGAGGAGCGAUGCCACGUGCUCUAACCAGGCUUCUGUGGGGCAGGGGUGGAGGGGCUGGGUGGGUUGUGAGGGGUGCAUCUCCUGGAGGGCUGCCAUCCCACGCAACAGCAGCACCCCUGCCCUGUGUCAUGGGGACUGCAGGGCUACCCCAAGGCUAUACAGAGCAGGGAGGUUGGCAUCAUUUAGAGCCAAGCUCUGUGGCUGCGGGCCCUGGCCCUGGAGGGAAGUGUUGGCAUCUGGCUGCACCCUGUCCUUCGAGCCAGAGCGUCCAGGCCGGGGCUGCCUCUUGAGUGACUGCCUGCCAUCAGCAAGGCUCUGGGUAACCAGUGCCUCCAUGGGGACACUGAGGCCCAGGGUAGGGAAGGGGCACCAGACCUCAAAGGCGUGGCCUCAGCUAGUUUUCCUGCAAGUCUUGGGUGACAGCUGAGGGUUCUGUGCUUCCAUUUGAGACUCAAUGACCUUCAGUGGAGCUAAGAAGAAAACUCUUCUAAGGGGGUUGGGAAAAUGGGGGCCUGGGAGCAGCUUCUGAAACUGCUGGAGCACCCCCACCCAUUCACCAGGCAGAGUCAGCUCUCUGAGGGUUCCCGCUAGAGUCCUGGCCACCCACGGCUCAGUGCCCUGCAGGGAGCACUUGGAGGUCCUGUUUGCUCUAGGUGGGAGGCUGAGUGACGCUAGACAGCUGAGCAGCAGGCCCAGCGGAGACUCUGGGGCACCCGGGAAAUGAAGUGGUGCCUGGGCGGCCGCACGCCUGAGUCCCUGCCUGGUCUGAGCCUCGGGAAAUAGCCGAGGCUUCACUUGUCCCCUUUCAUCUUUGGCACCAGGCUCUGUCCUCUGCCUUGAUGUAUGGCGUCUCCUGUGGUCACCAGGGUGCCUUCUGCCCUGAGGCGGCUGCCAUCCUGUCUUGCAGGUGGUGAAGCCAGGGCCUGGGACUUGGAGCAGACAUUCCUUCCUCAGCCAUUCAUUGAGCAUCUAUUGCACACCAGGCCCCAUUGCCAUGCUCCUGGGUUACUUCCAUGAGCAAGACAGACAGAAGUCUCCUUGGGGAGACAGAUAAACCAGCAAACAAAUCCAUGGACGGGAUAGUUUCAUGUCCUGGUGAGUGCUAGGAAGAGCAGAAAACAGAUGGUGGCAGGGGAGGCCUCUUAAGGAGGGGCCAGGUCACCUGGGGCUUGGAUGAUAAGGAGCUGUUGUCCCUGGAAGAUUUCCAGCAAAGGGCAGAUGUGACAGCUUUCCCAGAGCUGACCAGGCCCUGUGGCUGGAGUCUGGUGACCGGAGGGCAGGGAAAGAGGAGCUACUGGGGUUGGGAUUUUAUCUUAAGCUUGGCAGAGGUAUGAUACCUGAUCACUUACACUUCUGAGGCCCUCUGGCUUUUCUGUGGAGCAGGGGCUUCGGGUGGGGGUGGGAGCUGGGAUUGCAGGCUGGACACCAGCCCGCAGCCCUGGCAGUGUCCCGUGAGGAAAGCCACAUGCCACAGCUUCCAGUUUCCUUGGGAAAGUAGGGGGGAGGAGGUGGCAGUGAUGGCGUGAAAAGACCCAGCCGCCCCCUGCAGAUGGAGGGACUCUUGGGGAGGGCCACAGCCUGGCCAUUCACUAACACUGCUGGGGCCAGGGCCACUGAAGCCCACCCUGGAGGUCUCUCUAGGGACCAGCACCCUGUGAAUUUGACCCCUCAGGCUUGGGAGGACAUGUGGGGAAUCUGACCCUUGCCUCUGCCUUCCAGAGACUUCCAGGUGCUGUGUUAGGGUUCGGGGCUCUGGACCUCAUGCUCUGAGAUGCCGAUAGGCGGGUGCCUAUAGCAGGCAGUCCCCAGCUCGGUAGCCCACAUGCUCACCCCCGGUCCCCUCCAGCUCCUUCCCCUGAGGCUUCCAGGCCAAGCUAAAGAGGGCAGGAGGCUGGAUAGGUGUGAUGUUCCAGGCCACCCACGUGCCAAGAGGUGCCAGAAAGCAGGAAGGAAAGGAGCAGGUGGGAUUUGUUGUUCUGGUAAGCUCAUGGGAGACAGGCUCCCUGUCACAGGGGGCAUCCAAACAGGCAUCUGCCUCCUGAAAUAUUUACAUUGGCAAAGGCCCCGGACAGGCCACAAAUUACCCUGUGCCUGUGAUUCCAUUUCCCAUCCACUUUUUUUCUCCAAGGAGUUGCUAGUGUUGUAAAUCUUCCUGCAAACAGUGGGGAAGAAAAGCAUCUCAGAUGCCACAAAGCACGUUGAGCAUCCAUGACUCUUUCGGCUGGUGGAGGGGCCCGCCUGCUCCCCUGUGGACGUGGCUGAGCCUCCCGGCCAGGGGCGCCCAGUGCUGCUGCCUGUGGGUCUGUGUCUCAGCCUUCCAGUACAGCAUGGCUGUGCACAUUCGCCACCUGCACGCCCAAAAGGCACUUGGUCAUCACAGCAGCUGGAGCUGAGGGUUUAUUGUAACUGGGUAGCCAUUAUUGUAAUUAUUACUGCUGUUGCUGUGGCUGCGAUGGUUCCAGUAGCUCUGGCAGUCAGGCCUCGGCGAGAUGGCUGGGGAUUGGGGGUGGUGGGGGCGGGUGGGGUUUGUGAGGUCCAGGGUAGAGUCCCGCGUAUCGGUUCUGGAAGGUGCUUGGUGUCUCCCAACCCCUCCCCCACGUCCCCGUCUCCGGCCGGCCCCUCACUGGGCUGCCUUUGUCCUCCUUAUCCUUUGUCUCCACGCCUCCUUCCCAUGAGGGUGGGGUGGUCUUCUGGAGAGGGAGUGCCCCUGGCAGGUGGGGCCACUGGGGCACAGGCAGGGGUGGCAGGGCUGGCUUUGUGCUGGCUGUGAGUUGGAGAAGCCUCUCAUCGGAUCUGGAAGACAGGGGAUGGGUCACCUUCCCCUGCCCCCUUGGAGGGAAGGAGGCCCCUAUCCGUUUCCUGGGACCACCCUCCGCCCUUCUUUUCUGCUGAUGCCCUGCCACUUGUGUGCAGGUCUGGGUCUUUCUGCUCCUCCAAAGCUUCGAGGGCCUGUGAGCUCCAUACUUUCUCUUCUGCCCAGGGGCCCGGGAGGUGAAUCUCUAGAUAAGGCGAACCUGGUGCCAUGGGCUGUAGGUCAGCCCUCUCAAGGUCCUGGAAUGCAUUUUGUGUCUCCUGCCUGGCCUGGAGGGUUGUAGCCCUGACCCCACACCCUCUUGUGACCCUGUCCUGCUGUCCUCCAACCCCCAAAAAGGAGUACCUGAGGACCAGCCCCCAGCCCCUGUCAUCUGGGCUCUGCUGGGGCUCCUCAUCCACAGAGUAGGGUCAGUCGUUCUGUGUGGAAGGGUCGGGUGUGGCAGGGGCCGGGCAAGUAGGUGCUGCCGGGCUGUCUGAGGUCAGCACCUCCCCCACUGUCCUGACCAUUCUGAGCUUGGUGGGAGGGAAAGUCCUGUCCAGGGCCCCAGGGCCUAGCUCGCAGCGGCCCCAGCAUUGGUUGCUGUGUGGCCCUCGGCUUGGUGAACCUCUCUGCAUCUCUUUCCUCAGGGGUAAAAUGGGGAGAUGCUAGAACUUUCCAUAUUGCAGGGCUGCAAUGAGGGCUGGAUGGGAUGAGGUGUGUGAGGCGCUCGGAGCAGAUGUGAAGGCUACGCGUGGAUGCCCCUGCCUGGCAGGGGUGAUUUGGUCUCAGGAGGACACGUUUCAAGCCCCACUUCCUUCUUGGAGCCCUCCCUGUCCCCACAGGUCUGUGUCCUGCCCAGCCGCGAGCCAUUCAGGGUAACGCUGGGCCUGGGCUCUGCCUCUUUUUUCUUUUCUUUCUUUUCUUUUUGAGACAGUGUCUUGCUGUGUCACCCAGACUGGAAUACAGUGGCACUAUCAUAGCUCACUACAGCCUUGACCUCCUGGGCUCAAGCUGUCCUCCCGCCUCAGCCUCCCAAAGUGCUGGGAUUAUGACAGGCCUUUCCAGCCUCCAGCAUCUGCAGAUGUUCCAAAUGAGUCCUGCCUGGGUCUCGAUCCCUCCCGGCGUCACCUGGGAGCAUUGCACCUGAAAUAUGGGUGUGUCACGUGUUGGAGGGAAGCAGAGGUGCAGAGAACUGACAAUGUCUGCACUGAUGAGGUCGCCUGGGGCGGUGUAGGAUCCGGUUUGAGGCCGGAUAUGCCUGGGUUCAGCUCCUGGCACUGGAGUGGCCUGGCUUUGUGGCCUGGGACUGUCGAGCCACUCACUGUCUCUUGUCUUUUCAAAGCCUUCCUGGGUAGGUAGCUUUUGUGGCUGUGGGUUUGGUCCCUGUCCCAGGGCAGCCGUAACUGUUAGUCCCUAGACAGGGGUGGGUGCUUCUGUGGGACAGGGCAGCCCGGUGGAGCUGGGACCCAGGCGUGGACAUCCAGGGAAACCUUUGGAAUACUGUCUGUGCAGCCGAGCACACAUCCCAUUGGCCCAGGAGUCUGUUUGUUUUGGGGACAUCAACGCUUCAGAAACUAGAGCCCCGAGUUGUGCGAUUCCAUUUCCUGGUUCCUUGUUGUCAGCCUUCGUCCCGGAGGACCGCCCCCAGGAGUUGGGAGGAUUUACAUCUUCCUUCAUAGAGAUGGUUCGAUGUGGGCCUUGCUGCUUUAUUCUUUGGUUCAAGAUGGUAUUGCUGUGGCUGGGUGUGGGGACGGGGAUCAGUGGACAGUGAGGACACAGGCCAGGAGUUGGGAUUUUAUGUCCCUCUUUGCAGCUACCUCUCUCUGCAGUGAGCCCUCCUGGGUCCCCGGGAACCCUCAGCUAGCCUUGGACCUGGGGCUGUGCCAGGCGCCAGCCCUCCCAGGAGAGAGAAGUUCCCCCUGCCUCCAGAGCCCAUGUUCAAGGCGCGGUGACGCGAGGACCCCGCAGGAGCCUGCUGGAGCGCCCCCUCGUCAUGUUUCCUGUUCUGUCUGUGACAUGCUGACUCCCUGCUUUGUUGACGGUCUGGCAGAGAGGCUGACUGAAGUCACGUUUUAUCUGCCCUUUUCUCAGAGCCUGUGUCUGGCUUUGGGCCAAACCACUCAUAAUAAAGCAACUUGAAGUAAUCCUCACAUUUGUGGGAUGUGGGGCCCGGCGGUCCUGCCCUCUUGCCCUCCUGCCCCGAGGGAGGCCCAGCCGCGUCCUCCCAGAGGAUCUUACCCUGUCGCCCCUGUUAGCUCCUCUGCAGCCCCCUCGGGUUGGCACUGGGUCCAACAGCUAUAUCUUUCCUGAGCAGGGUCCUCAUGUUCUCAGGCAGGCUGGCCUGUGGCACGUGGGCGUUCUGUCUUCUGGGUGUGCAAGGACAUGCUCCCCACCCCCAAGGAAGCUGGGGAGGUGGGAUAUGCCCUGAGAUGCCUCGGGCAGAGGUUCUGAGAGAGGAAGGCCAAGGAGGUAGGAGGAGUUAGGAGAGGCCGGGCACCUGGAGCCCCACCACUCCAGCCCUGUAUGCCUGUCUCUAGCUUG